GCUCCCUCACCGGGGCGUUUGAGAAAUGAGUCUCCUCUCCCCAGCUGCUACCGCGGAGCACACGAUUCCAAUGCCUGAGAGAUUAUUUGUCCCGCAACAAAUGAACAAAGGAGCAGGAGAAGCCCUCUGCACAAGUGCCAAGAGCCUCAGAGAAGCGAUGGCCUGAGCUCAUGAAGGCUUCCAUCUUGGGGCCUGAAACCUUGAACACCAAUGAAGGAACGCACCUGUGUUUCCAAGAGGCUGGUGACCUUCAGAGUUCUUUUUUCCGGGGGGAAGAAAUUUAAUUUAAUCUCGUCUCCUCGUAUUUGUUCAUGUUAGAUUACAUUAAAGUGCAACCCAGAACCUUAAGAUCCUCUCCAGUUGUCUCCUCAUCCGAGAAGCCCACCUUGAUUUCUCUAGGCCAAAAGAUGGCUCCCUCCUCCAUCACAUGUGCGCUGUGAACAGCCUUUCUUAGAAAACUCACCCAUGGCUGAGGCCCUGUGUGGACUGGGAGCCCCCUGCCUGUCACGCACGGUGGACAGAGUGUCCCCCAGGCUGCUCUCGCGGUCGGUGUUUAUUAACAGACGCUUACUGAUGAA